CAAACACUUCCCUUCCCGAAUACCUGCCACCGCUAGUAAAAGAAAUUCCCCCAAAAAGUGCAGUGUUUUCUACAAGAAAGGAGUCCGAAAGGACUCUAGUUAUUAUUGCCCAACUUGUCCAUCUAAACCCGGCCUCUGCAUAACAGACUGUUUCAAAGUCUACCAUACAGAGCUGAACUUCUAAAUCACUCUGUAUGGGACUUUGGCAGUUUGUUUGCUUGAUUUCCCUGGAUUACUGACC